CGGGCGUUAAGUUGCAGGGUAUAGACCCGAAACCCGGUGAUCUAGCCAUGGGCAGGUUGAAGGUUGGGUAACACUAACUGGAGGACCGAACCGACUAAUGUUGAAAAAUUAGCGGAUGACCUGUGGCUGGGGGUGAAAGGCCAAUCAAACCGGGAGAUAGCUGGUUCUCCCCGAAAGCUAUUUAGGUAGCGCCUCGUGAAUUCAUCUCCGGGGGUAGAGCACUGUUUCGGCUAGGGGGCCAUCCCGGCUUACCAACCCGAUGCAAACUGCGAAUACCGGAGAAUGUUAUCACGGGAGACACACGGCGGGUGCUAACGUCCGUCGUGAAGAGGGAAACAACCCAGACCGCCAGCUAAGGUCCCAAAGUCAUGGUUAAGUGGGAAACGAUGUGGGAAGGCCCAGACAGCCAGGAUGUUGGCUUAGAAGCAGCCAUCAUUUAAAGAAAGCGUAAUAGCUCACUGGUCGAGUCGGCCUGCGCGGAAGAUGUAACGGGGCUAAACCAUGCACCGAAGCUGCGGCAGCGACGCUCAGGCGUUGUUGGGUAGGGGAGCGUUCUGUAAGCCUGUGAAGGUGGCCUGUGAGGG
rnacentral:rRNA from 1 species